UUGUCCGUAACUUACACGGACGGGAUAUUGAG
rnacentral:sRNA from 1 species